UACGGGGGGGGCAAGCGUUGUUCGGAAUUACUGGGCGUAAAGGGCUCGUAGGCGGCCAACUAAGUCAGACGUGAAAUCCCUCGGCUUAACCGGGGAACUGCGUCUGAUACUGGAUGGCUAGAGGUUGGGAGAGGGAUGCGGAAUUCCAGGUGUAGCGGUGAAAUUCGUAGAUAUUCGGCGGAACACCAGUGGCGAAGGCGACUCACUGGCCCGAUACUGACGCUGAGGCGCGAAAGCGUGGGGAGCAAACAGG
rnacentral:rRNA from 1 species